GUGCCAGCCGCCGCGGUAAUACGGAGGGAGCUAGCGUUGUUCGGAAUUACUGGGCGUAAAGCGCACGUAGGCGGCUUUGUAAGUUAGAGGUGAAAGCCUGGAGCUCAACUCCAGAAUUGCCUUUAAGACUGCAUCGCUUGAAUCCAGGAGAGGUGAGUGGAAUUCCGAGUGUAGAGGUGAAAUUCGUAGAUAUUCGGAAGAACACCAGUGGCGAAGGCGGCUCACUGGACUGGUAUUGACGCUGAGGUGCGAAAGCGUGGGGAGCAAACAGGAUUAGAAACCCUGGUAGUCC
rnacentral:rRNA from 1 species